rnacentral:rRNA from 1 species
AUUGAACGCUGGCGGCAGGCUUAACACAUGCAAGUCGAGCGGAGAUGAGGUGCUUGCACCUUAUCUUAGCGGCGGACGGGUGAGCAAUGCUUAGGAAUCUGCCUAUUAGUGGGGGACAACAUUCCGAAAGGAAUGCUAAUAACGCAUACGUCCUACGGGAGAAAGCAGGGGAUCCUCGGACCUUGCGCUAAUAGAUGAGCCUAAGGCGGAUUAGCUAGUUGGUGGGGUAAAGGCCGACCAAGGCGCCGUUCUGUAGCUGGUCGGGGAGGAUGAUCCGCCACACUGGGACUGAGACACGGCCCAGACUCCUACGGGAGGCAGCAGUGGGGAAUAUUGGACAAUGGGCGGAAGCCCGAUCCAGCCAUGCCGCGUGUGUGAAGAAGGCCUUUUGGUUGUAAAGCACUUUAAGCGAGGAGGAGGCUACUGAGACUAAUACUCUUGGAUAGUGGACGUUACUCGCAGAAUAAGCACCGGCUAACUCUGUGCCAGCAGCCGCCGUAACAC